GACGAACGCUGGCGGCAUGCUUAACACAUGCAAGUCGAACGGAAAGGCCCUGCUUUUGUGGGGUGCUCGAGUGGCGAACGGGUGAGUAACACGUGAGUAACCUGCCCUUGACUUUGGGAUAACUUCAGGAAACUGGGGCUAAUACCGGAUAGGAGCUCCUGCUGCAUGGUGGGGGUUGGAAAGUUUCGGCGGUUGGGGAUGGACUCGCGGCUUAUCAGCUUGUUGGUGGGGUAGUGGCUUACCAAGGCUUUGACGGGUAGCCGGCCUGAGAGGGUGACCGGCCACAUUGGGACUGAGAUACGGCCCAGACUCCUACGGGAGGCAGCAGUGGGGAAUAUUGCACAAUGGGCGGAAGCCUGAUGCAGCAACGCCGCGUGCGGGAUGACGGCCUUCGGGUUGUAAACCGCUUUCGCCUGUGACGAAGCGUGAGUGACGGUAAUGGGUAAAGAAGCACCGGCUAACUACGUG
rnacentral:rRNA from 1 species